CUCUGAACCAUUCUUUAAUCUCGUACCAACUUCAGACAGCAGGUCAGCAUCUGUAGGGGCCGAGGAUUUAUCCUUCCAGUCGUGUCAUGUUGCAUUGGAAAGGAGGGGCCCAGUGUGAUGGAGCUACAGGUCACUGUUGGGCUACAGAUGAAGUCAGUGGCUUUCAUCAGACGUAAAGGCGGGGGUGUCUGUAAAUUAUGAAUGAAGUACCACUUUGUGGACGAAGGGGAUGAUGCAGAUUAUUCAUCCCUACUUCCUUCAGUGCAACUUCUCUGGCGGACGGGUUCUACUCCAGAGAGACGAGGGGGGACAGCGUUACUCAAUGGAGCAACACAAAUAGAUUAAAGGUGGCAGUAAAUUACUACUAUCUUUUUGUAUUUUAAAUCUCUUUUUUCAGUUUUGAACUGGUGAGGGUUUAUACUUGCUAUGUAGCUUUUGCAGCUGUCAGGUGUAUAAUUU